rnacentral:misc_RNA from 1 species
AGAGAAGCCAGUACAACCUGCAGCGCCAGCCCCGGCACCAGCAGCAACAGCACCCCCAGCCAAGACUGCUCAGGGAGGAUCUAAGAAGUCAAAGAAGUGAGGAUGGCGAACUUUAAGGAGGGUUGGCUUUAUAUCUGUUUUUUGUUAUUAUGCCAGUUUAGUAUCUUUUAUAUGUUCCCUAUUUGGUUCAUGUACUUUAAGAAUCAAUGUUUUACCUACAUGAAGUUGAAUAGAUGCUUGGAAGUUUUGAUACUUUAUUCUUGUGUUGUAUUCAGUUUUGCGCUUACCUUUGGUCAUAUUAUUACUUUGCAUCAGACAGAUAGAGUACUCAAG